rnacentral:rRNA from 1 species
UACGUAGGGUGCGAGCGUUAAUCGGAAUUACUGGGCGUAAAGCGUGCGCAGGCGGUUCGUUGUGUCGGCGGUGAAAGCCCCGGGCUCAACCUGGGAAUGGCCGUUGAAACUGGCGAACUGGAGUGUGGCAGAGGGGGGUGGAAUUCCGCGUGUAGCAGUGAAAUGCGUAGAGAUGCGGAGGAACACCGAUGGCGAAGGCGGGUCUCUGGGCCGAUACUGACGCUGAGGAGCGAAAGCGUGGGUAGCAAACAGG